ACGCUCGACAUCUAUGGGAGGCAGCAGUCGGGAAUAUUGCGCAAUGGAGGAAACUCUGACGCAGUGACGCCGCGUAUAGGAAGAAGGUUUUCGGAUUGUAAACUAUUGUCGUUAGGGAAGAGAAAGGACAGUACCUAAGGAGGAAGCUCCGGCUAACUACGUGUCAGCAGCCGCGGUAAUCUGAGGCGGGCUGGCAAGGC
rnacentral:rRNA from 1 species